rnacentral:lncRNA from 1 species
AGCAGAGCAGAGGCUUGGAGACACAUCCGUUCCUAUUGCUUCCUGGAUAAACCUUGAAAUUCAUCCUAGAAAGAGAGGGAAACUGAGUCCCUGGAAAGGCCCAGCAGAGAUGGAUCCAAACAAGCUUUCAAUGGAAGAGGGCAAGCAGUUCCUUAAACAGUGUGGGAUCCCACAAAGAGAUAUCGAUGCAAUGACCUAGAAAUGGGUAGUUGUUGCCUCUGUGGAGGUUUUAAUUCGAUUCCCUCUGCUGCCAGGGGAGGACCCCACAGCUCAUUGUAUUUCCAAUAAAAGCAGUCAGCCUGCAGUGUCCCA